UCAGUAGUAGAGCGCUCACCUAGCACAUGUGAGGACACACUGGGUUCGAUCUUCAGCACCACAUAAAAAAAUAAAUAACUAAAAUAAAGGUAUAUACAACUAAAAAUAUUUUUAAAAAAGAAAUAAACUUUUAAAAGAUGCAUUUUUUUCAAAUAAAUGUAGCCAUCAGAAAUCAUGUUUAUGAGGACAAUGCAGUAAUAAUUUUGAAUCUGCUACUUUCUAUUGAUUGUCCUACUCCAGAUACUUUACAUAUACUGACUUAAACCUUUAUAGUUAACCCUUGUAGGCUGCAACACUAGAUGACUGGGUUUCCCCAGCAGUUUAAUUCUGGAUAAGUACACAAACUCCUUGUCCCUACGUUUUCCACCUGUGAAACAGGCUCCCGCAGCCCCUACCUCUGGAGCUACUGCACUUUCAGAUGAGAUGCUCAAAGUAAGGUGCUUAGAACAGAAUAUGGCAUAUUAUAAUCACUCAAUAAAUGUGUAUUAUUGCCAAAAAAGUUGAUAGUGCCCUGAAAGUUUAAACAUGACAAAAUCAAACCAAAACAGCCCAGAAGAAAAUGCAGGUGAACAUUUUUACAAUCCUAGGGUGAGGAAGACCUUUCUCGGCAUGAUAUCUAAGGCAGAAACACAGGCAAAGUAUUGAUAGAAUUGACCACAGUAAAGAUCACUCCAGAAUGGCAGAAAUCACCACAAAAUUGGAAACAUAAGCAAUAACUUGGAGGAAAAAAAGUUACAUAUUUGACAAGCAAGAAAAUUUAAUACACAAAGAGCACUUAUUUACUUAUUUAUUUAUUGUGGUUCUGGAGAUUAAACCUAGGGUACUCUAUCACUGAAGUAUAUCCUCAGCCCUUUUAAUUUGUUUUGAGACAAGGUCUUGCUAAGUUGUGGAGGCUGGCCAUGAACUUAUGAUCCUCCUGCCUCAGCCUUCUGAGUCACUGGGAUUAUGGGUGUGCAUCACUGUGCUGAGCCAUGAAUAGCUUUAAAAAUUAAACAGAAUGCAUAUGCAAAGGUAUUUUCCUAGAAAAAUAAUAGGCUAAAGGACAUAAACAGGAUGCGAGACACUUUGAUGUAGCCAAGAUAUCCCUGGGGACAUUUAGAAGGAGCCCUAUUAACCCAGCUGUUAUGACGUAUCGGUGUGCCACAGCUGCCCCAGUGAAAAUGUGCCUGCCCUUCCUCUGCCCCUAACCUCAGGUACACAGGACUUGUACUUCCUACUUUGUUCCUUCCUGCAUUAAUUUAAUUGACAAAUAUUUGUUAAUUAAAAUCAGGGAGAAAAGAGAAGAAAGGGGCUGUGGAUAUAGCUCGGUUAAUUGAGUGCUUGCCUCUCAUGCACAAGGCCUUGGGUUCAAACCCCAGCGUGCACACACACACACACACACACACACACAGAAAAAUGCUGUUAGGGUUAGCUUCUUAAGGUGGAACCAAAAUCAUCCUUUGGGGGUUGAGGGUGUGGCCAAAUGGUAGAGUAUCUUUUAGCACACAAGGCCCUGGAUUCCAUCACUAGCAUUGGGGGGGGAGUGGAUCUAAUCUUCAAAAAUAUGUGUCAUAGUAAAUACAAUAUUUUCAUAUUGAAUCCUGAGAGAAAAGUUGGAAAUUCAGUUAAAUAUUCCCUCUGUAGUCUGUAUCUGA
rnacentral:lncRNA from 1 species